rnacentral:rRNA from 1 species
CACGUAGGGGGCAAGCGUUGUCCGGAUUCAUUGGGCGUAAAGAGCUCGUAGGCGGCUCAGUAAGUCAGGUGUGAAACCUCCAGGCUCAACCUGGAGACGCCACCUGAUACUGCUGUGGCUAGAGUCCGGUAGGGGAGCGUGGAAUUCCUGGUGUAGCGGUGAAAUGCGCAGAUAUCAGGAGGAACACCGACGGCGAAGGCGGCGCUCUGGGCCGGAACUGACGCUGAGGAGCGAAAGCGUGGGUAGCAAACAGG